AUGAAGGUGCCUCUGCGGCGACCCCGCCAUCACCAGGCACCCGGCAGGGCAGGGGGAGGGCUGAGCGCCCUGGAAGUGGGGGGGCGGCGGCAUUCCGGGGGGUGCUGGCGCCCAGCCAGGCAGGAAACAGCGAGCUUCCCGCCUCCUGGUGCCAAGAAACAGGGUCUCUCCGAUGUCUACCUCCAGCUGCAACAAAGAGGCUGCUCGCAUGGUAAUUAUGACAACAAAAGGACAAAAGGAAGCAAGUCUUUACCGAGGAGGCCGGAGGCUGCACUGCGGGCGGAUGAGGAGGAGGAGGCCGAAGGCUGCGGACGGGCGGGCGGAGGAGGCAGAGGCGGAGGCUGCAGGCGGAUGAGGAGGAGGAGGCCAGAGGCUGUGGACAAGGAGGCUAGAGGCUGCGGAGGAGGAGAGGCUGGAGGCUGCGGGCAGAGGAGGCGGAGGAGGAAGAGGAGGAGGAGGAGGCCGAGGCUGCGCUCAGUGGGUCAGCAGCAGCUCCAGGGAAGCCUGUGCCUCUGUGGCUUCGCGGACCCAUUUCGCAGCCCAGGACCCAGGGCCAGGCCGCAAGCCGGGUGUGAACACCAGGGCCCCAACCCCACAGGCGCCGCCUCCCCCACAGGCACCGCCCUCACACACCCCCCACUGGGACUGCCCGCCGCCGGGCCCCUGCUCCCCCCGGUGCACCCCUGCUCCGGGCCCUCUUGCCCCCUGCAUGGUGAGGUUUCCCGCGGGCCCCCUCGGCCCCCGACCGCAGCUCAGGCCCCCUUGCCCACGAGCCCUCAGGCUGCACGUCCACCCCAGGACCCCACGCUGUGCCUGGCACUCAGAGCCGCUCACAAGGCCUGUGGGGCCACGUGGGACGGGUCUUUCCUCCGUGGAUUCAGCAGCAGAGACUCCGAGCCCGGCGCUGAGCCGUGGCGCCUGAGGGGCAGUGAAGCAAGGCCCCUGCCCCCUGACAGCUCACAUCCCAGGGUGGGGACAGACGAAUACACACAAGGUACAGGGCGCCCCGGAUGGGGUCGUGAGGCAAGGGAUGCGGAGUCUCGGGGUCACAAGGAGCCAAGCGUCAUCUGGGCAGGGAGGCCAGGGACGUUGAUGCUGGGACACGGCACAGCGCGGGGGGAGCAGGGAGAGGAACAGGGGCAGGGUGCUCUAGGCUGGAAGCAGCAGGUGCAAAGGCCCUGUGGCAGAGGCAAGCUCAGGACGUCCAAAGAAGCUUGCAGCCCAGGUUCGAGCACGGAUGGGAGGGUUUCCCACAGUGACUGA
rnacentral:lncRNA from 12 species